rnacentral:rRNA from 1 species
GUGAGUAACGCGUAAAGAACUUGCCUCACAGCUAGGGACAACAUUUGGAAACGAAUGCUAAUACCUGAUAUUAUGAUUUUAAGGCAUCUUAGAAUUAUGAAAGCUAUACGCGCUGUGAGAGAGCUUUGCGUCCCAUUAGCUAGUUGGAGAGGUAACGGCUCACCAAGGCGAUGAUGGGUAGCCGGCCUGAGAGGGUGAACGGCCACAAGGGGACUGAGACACGGCCCUUACUCCUACGGGAGGCAGCAGUGGGGAAUAUUGGACAAUGGGCCAAGAGUCUGAUCCAGCAAUUCUGUGUGCACGAUGACGUUUUUCGGAAUGUAAAGUGCUUUCAGUUGGGAAGAAAAAAAUGACGGUACCAACAGAAGAAGUGACGGCUAAAUACGUGCCAGCAGCCGCGGUAAUACGUAUGUCACGAGCGUUAUCCGGAUUUAUUGGACGUAAAGCGCGUCUAGGCGGUUAUGUAAGUCUGAUGUGAAAAUGCAGGGCUCAACUCUGUAUUGCGUUGGAAACUGUGUAACUAGAGUACUGGAGAGGUAAGCGGAACUACAAGUGUAGAGGUGAAAUUCGUAGAUAUCUGUAGGAAUGCCGAUGGGGAAGCCAGCUUACUGGACAGAUACUGACGCUGAAGCGCGAAAGCGUGGGUAGCAAACAGGAUUAGAUACCCUGGUAGUCCACGCCGUAAACGAUGAUUACUAGGUGUUGGGGGUCGAACCUCAGCGCCCAAGCAAACGCGAUAAGUAUCCGCCUGGGGAGUACGUA